AAGUUCUCUUCAGAAACUGAAGCAGCCGCGGCGUUGGAGAGGAUGAGUGACGAGGUAAAAAUAAAAUGUGCUUCGUUGAUCUGUUGGUACAGCAGAAAAAGCCAUGUUCUCGCAGGAUGAUAUGCAGCGUUUGGUGCGGCUCUUUUCCUUACGCUAACACAGUUUGGCCACAUGAUGAUUGUUUCAGGUGCUUGAUGGAAAGAAAAUACGGGUGGAUUAUGCAAACAGCGAACAAUCUGCUGCUGCUGCUGCUGCAGAUGAGUAAGGUGCCUAUCUGGAAUCUGUAAUUGUUUCACUGUAAGGCACAUGUACUCUGUAUAUUUACGUAAUCACCAGUAUAUAUUUUAAGUUCAGUCCUAUGACCAACUUCAAAUAGACCGGCCGUCUGAUUUGUUUAGCUUUACAUUGCCUGUAGCAUUGUGAUUAUUGAUAACUUAAAAUACAGAAGAACGUCUGACAGCUAAUUCUCUUAUACUAAGUCACGGAAUUCAUUCAUCGACCUUAUUUUUUAUUUGAGGUCAACAUUAGCCAUGGUCUAGGAAACAAUUUAUGCCCGGCUUUUAAAAACUUGAGUAUGGCAUCAAGUCUCAGGAAAAGUAUUGGGUUAGAAAAUCAAUUUUAUUGCAUGUUACAGUGUCGGGUUUACAUGGGAAAUGAAGUGUUUGUUGUGCCCAGAAUCUGUAAUGUCGAUGGAGCCCUGGACAUGCAUGCACUCUGUACAUUUGAAUGAUCAUCGGUACUUAUUUUAUUUUCAUUCCCAUACCAGCUUUACGGGUAGACUAGUCCUCUGAUCGUUUAACUUGGCACUGGCUGUAGCAUUCUGCCUAUUGCUAACUGAAAAGAACAGAGCAACACCUAAUCGGUGGUGAAUUCUCUUUCACCAAGAGACAUAAUUAAUUCCAUUGCUUUUGUUUUAGGUCAACAUUAACGCUAGUUUUGGAAACAAUUCAUGCCCCUGAUCUUAAAACCUGAGAACUUGCUUUCGCUUCUGUUAUAAUGCAGAAAUAUCAUCCAGAAGUGUAUAAUGUUGCAGCAAAGCUUGGCAUAUCGUAACUAUCGGGUGUGGGAAGGAGUUUGUAAAUUGGAGAUAUUUUUUUGUGUGGCAAUUUUACUUAAAGGACACUUGUAAAUUUGAGCUUAGUUUGGUAAAUUUGACCAAAACAUGAGAGUUCCAUUUCUUCAAACGCACAUGAUUCAGCAUGAAGCAUCUCAUAUUUAGAUCAAUGAGCCAAACAUAUAACACAAGGGAACUGGAAAAGGAGUUCCUGAUUUAUCUGCACUACUUCUUUCAAAGCUUUAGAAUUUAUAUGAGCUGUAACUCAACGAGUGUAG
rnacentral:lncRNA from 1 species